GAUGAAGAACGCAGCGAAAUGCGAUAAGUAGUGUGAAUUGCAGAAUUCAGUGAAUCAUCGAAUCUUUGAACGCACAUUGCGCCCCUUGGUAUUCCAUGGGGCAUGCCUGUUCGAGCGUCAUUUGUACCUUCAAGCACUGCUUGGUGUUGGGUGUUUGUCUCGCCUCUGCGUGUAGACUCGCCUCAAAACAAUUGGCAGCCGGCGUAUUGAUUUCGGAGCGCAGUACAUCUCGCGCUUUGCACUCAUAACGACGACGUCCAAAAGUACAUUUUUACACUCUUGACCUCGGAUCAGGUAGGGAUACCCGCUGAACUUAAGCAUAUCAAUAAGCGGAGGA
rnacentral:misc_RNA from 1 species